AAUUGCACUCGUCCCGGCCUGC
rnacentral:miRNA from 8 species